GACGUAGGAGGCGAGCGUUGUCCGGAGUUACUGGGCGUAAAGCGCGCGCAGGCGGUCGCGCAGGUCAUCUGUGAAAGCACCCGGCUCAACCGGGCUGUGGCGGGUGAAACCGCGCGACUUGAGGGUGGGAGAGGUCGGUGGAAUUCCCGGUGUAGUGGUGAAAUGCGUAGAGAUCGGGAGGAACACCCGUAGCGAAGGCGGCCGACUGGACCAUCCCUGACGCUGAGGCGCGAAGGCCAGGGGAGCGAACGGGAUUAGAAACCCCCGUAGUCC
rnacentral:rRNA from 1 species